AGGUAGUGGCCCAGGCACCAAAAUAGCAUAGUCAGGGUAUAAACUUUGAUCUGGGAGGAAAGGGAGCAAUUUUCUUUGGUUGUCUGCCUCAGACAGAAGCUCAGAGAGAGAACUAAAGAGUUCAUAUUUCCCCCCUGAACGUGAUUAUUUUAUUUUCCAAAAUGUACUGGGCUUGAUUCAUUCAAGGGUUUUGAAUGGGUUUUGAGCCAUUCAAAAACAGUGGCUCUCUUGCUCCUUUACUGAUUGGCUUUUCUCGUGCCACUAACAUCACAAAAGUGACCAAAAAAAAGCAGGGUCUUGAUCUCAAAACGUUUUGAAGGAACUAUAGCUGGGAAACUGUCAUGGAGUCUUCCAAUCAGAGUGUCUUUUUUAAGGUUAAUUCCUACAACGAAUACAACCAAGCUUCUUCGGGGAACAUUUUAGGAUAAGGGAUCCGACUGUUCCGCACGAUGUGAGCAAGGCCACGAAGCCGCUUCCCCGGUUGAAUUUCUGCACGCAUGCCGCCGCUCGCGACCUAUGGAUCUGGAGAGGAUCGCCUGCCUGGAUCUCUCCUGCCCGUCACCAAGCCGGAUUCCCAGGGAGGCUGUCGUGUGUGGCAUUUUAUUCCCUCCUUGGGAAAGCGGCCAUCAACGCCUGGGAGGCAGGAGCCGUGCGCCAAGUUCACGCGGCCACCAGGGGCGGUACGUCUCCUCGCCUGCUCGCUUAUCCUCAGCAAACCAUUCCCUCCCUUCCGAAAUUAAACGGAGACAUCAAUCAAGGCGCGCCGAGCCCAAGCCGAACAAUGCCGAAGAUUGAGGUGGUCGGGAUAAAAGGAGAGGAAAAGAGGCGAGGCCACUGGAAGCAGUGGUGGAAAAAAGGGUUGCUGGAUUAUUACACGGCGGAGGUGAACUGUUUUCCCUCACAGUGUCUGACCUGUAUGUUUUUAUAUUGUGGCGACCGUUGACUGUGACCCGUUCAUAGGAAAGAGUAAAAGUCAGGAGAGAGAAAAAAUCCUCCCCCCCCGCCCCCCCCCCCCCCCCGCUUCCAUCCCUGAUUUUUGGAAUUUACCACAGAGCUGGCCCGGCUGGUUCUGAGAAAGGCAAGCGUUAACCCCUCCUUGACUGGAACGACUUCCGAAGGAAACGGGGAAAUGGUGUUCUGUCAGGGCAGGGUGGGAACGGUUCCCAAAAUGCCGAAAAGCUUCCCCGUUUUCCACCACAAACGUCGCCCCCCCCAAAAAAAAGCAAAUGAGCGAUUUAUUUCUCUACAUCUAUACCCCAGCUUAAGUAUCAAUAUAUGUAAAGCUCUCAGGGCGUCGUGCACGGCUCUCCUCCCGCCACUUUAUCGUCACGACAACCCUGUGAGUUAAACCAGGCUGGAAGAAUAUUAACUAGCCCAAAAUUGGCUAGUUAAUAUUCAGAAUUGGCUAGUUAAGCUUCAUGGGACAGUGGGGUUUUGAACCCAAGCCCUAGUCCACCAUCUACACCACACCACACCCGGUUUGCACUUUGAGAAA
rnacentral:lncRNA from 1 species